rnacentral:rRNA from 1 species
GACGAACGCUGGCGGCAUGCCUAACACAUGCAAGUCGAACGGAGAUUAUUUCGGUAAUCUUAGUGGCGCACGGGUGAGUAACGCGUGGGCAACCUGCCCUCUAGAUGGGGACAACAUCCCGAAAGGGGUGCUAAUACCGAAUGUGACAGCAAUCUCGCAUGAGGAUGCUGUGAAAGAUGGCCUCUAUUUAUAAGCUAUCGCUAGAGGAUGGGCCUGCGUCUGAUUAGCUAGUUGGUGGGGUAACGGCCUACCAAGGCGAUGAUCAGUAGCCGGUCUGAGAGGAUGAACGGCCACAUUGGGACUGAGACACGGCCCAGACUCCUACGGGAGGCAGCAGUGGGGAAUCUUCCGCAAUAGGCGAAAGCCUGACGGAGCAAUGCCGCGUGAGUGAUGAAGGAAUUCGUUCCGUAAAGCUCUUUUGUUUAUGACGAAUGUGCAGAUUGUGAACAAUGAUCUGUAAUGACGGUAGUAAACGAAUAAGCCACGGCUAACUACGUG